UUUAAUCUUUGGUUAAUUAAUUGUAAUAUUAUGGAGGGGGCUUCAAUUAAACUAGCUCUUUUUGCUGUUUUAGUGGCUUCUGCAUCAUUUCUAAUUCCUUAUGUAGUUGAAGCAAGAGGCAACAAACAACCACCCUGAAGUGCACCAGCAUCAGCACCGGCGCCUAAUGUUGUAGGAGGACCACCAUAUCAAAUCCAUGGUUGUGGCUACCCGUGUAGCGACUCUAACGAUUGUGAUGCACCUUGUACAAUCUGUUGUGCAAACCAAACAUGUUGUUAUGAUGAGCCCAUAGAUCUUUCACCGCAACCACCACCACCACCACCGCCACCAGUAGUGCUGUCUUCUGCACCAGUACCGCACCAAAUCCAUGGGUGAUUCACUUUGUGCUUUAUGUUUUUGACAAAAUCAGACUUGUUGCUAUGAUCUGCCUACUCUGGAUGGGUUAGCUCAAACACACUUCUGAAUUGUCACGAGGAUAUAACUCAGUAUAUACAUACUUCUAAACUUUGCAAAAAAUAAAUAAAUUCAAUCAUUAAUCCCAACUAUAGUGAGAUUCAUGUUGGAUUGAAA